GCUUAGCCCAGAUUGCAACGAAAUCCUUUUCUUUUUUUUCUUUAAAAAAAGAAAAGAUUGGAGUGUAAAGCUGGAAAUAGC
rnacentral:sRNA from 1 species